rnacentral:sRNA from 1 species
CGACUCAACAGUAAGGCCCCGCGGGCGUCCCGGCCGCCAUGUGCACCGCAGUGGACCCUCGCAUCGUCCGGAGAUACCUACUCAGGCGGCAGCUCGGGCAGGGGGCCUAUGGCAUUGUGUGGAAGGCAGUGGACCGGAGGACUGGUGAGGUCGUGGCCAUCAAGAAAAUCUUUGAUGCUUUUAGGGAUAAGACAGAUGCCCAGAGAACAUUCCGGGAAAUCACGCUCCUCCAGGAGUUUGGGGACCAUCCCAACAUCAUCAGCCUCCUUGACGUGAUCCGGGCAGAGAACGACAGGGACAUUUACCUGGUGUUUGAGUUUAUGGGUUGCCUCCCCCAGCCCCCCACCCCCGACUGGAGUGCACCCUCUCCGCAGACACUGACCUGAACGCAGUCAUCCGGAAGGGCGGGCUGCUGCAGGACAUCCACGUGCGCUCCAUCUUCUACCAGCUCCUGCGGGCCACCCGGUUCCUCCACUCCGGGCACGUUGUGCACCGGGACCAGAAGCCGUCCAAUGUGCUCCUGGAUGCCAACUGCACAGUGAAGCUGUGUGACUUUGGCCUGGCCCGCUCCCUGGGCGACCUCCCCGAGGGGCCUGAGGACCAGGCCUUGACAGAGUACGUGGCCACACGCUGGUACCGAGCUCCGGAGGUGUUGCUCUCUUCGCACCGAUACACCCUUGGGGUGGACAUGUGGAGUCUGGGCUGUAUCCUGGGGGAGAUGCUGCGAGGGAGGCCCCUGUUCCCGGGUACGUCCACCCUCCACCAGCUGGAGCUGAUCCUGGAGACCAUCCCGCCACCAUCCGAGGAGGACCUCCUGGCUCUCGGUUCAGGCUGCCGUGCCUCUGUGCUGCACCACCUGGGGUCCCGGUGAGUGGGGGCACUUCGGUGAGGGUGAGAGGGUGGCCUGUCUCAAGGGAGGAGGGCCACUUUCCUGAAAGUUUACUGGGGCCAGUUUGUACCAGUUCAGAUUCCGCCUGUUUUCAAGAUGGCAGUCCCAAACCCAACAACUGUUGGCCACUCUGAAAGCAGGAGCCCCUGGUGCUCCUAGAGAGUGGCCCAGAGGAGCUGCGCCAGGGCGUCGAGAGGAGGGUACCAGGGGGCUGCAGGGGUCUCUCCACUCUGCAGGGGCCCAGACUGCCUGCAGGUCAGGCACAGGAGCAUCUACCUAGACAGGACAGCAGGGUGGACCCCAGUUUGGAAGCUGAGCCCCCAGCCAUGAACAUGGAUCUGAGGAGGGGCCCUUGGGUCGGGCCCUGGAAACGACACAUGGCAGCCCACAGGCCGCGACAGACGCUGGAUGCCCUCCUACCGCCAGACACCUCCCCAGAGGCCUUGGACCUCCUUAGGCAACUCCUGGUGUUCGCCCCGGACAAGCGGUUAAGCGCGACCCAGGCACUGCAGCACCCCUACGUGCAGAGAUGAUCCUGGAGCGUGGAGGCAGCAGCGGCACCUCGAGAAAGAAGGGCCCGGAGCGUGUCUCCCGGAGCCAGGCACACGUGCACAAACCCAGAGCCGACCCUCAGCUGCCUUCUGGGACACGUGUGCAGGGUCCCAGACCCAGGCCUCAGAGUAGCCUGGGCCACGACCCCCCCGAGCAUGAGUCCCCCUGUGCAGCCAAGAACAUUCCCAGGCAGAACUCCGCUCCCCUGCUCCAAACUGCACUCCUAGGGAAUGGGGAAAGGCCCCCUGGGGCGAAGGAAGCGCCCCCCUUGACACUCUCGCUGGUAAGUCAUGGUGGGGCGGGCACGGGAGGGACCCUUCCUCUGCACCUUUCAGUGACCCUGUGACAUGGCCCUUCCCAGGCGAAGCCAAGCGGCAGGGGAGCUGCGCCCUCCCUAACCUCCCAGGCUGCGGCUCAGGUGGCCAACCAGGUCCUGAUCCGGGGUGACUGGAACCGGGGCGGUGGGGUGAGGGUGGCCAGCGCACAACAGGUCCCUCCCCGGCUUCCUCCGGAGGCCCGGCCCGGCCGGAGGAUGUUCAGCACCUCUGCCUUGCAGGGUGCCCAGGGGGCUGCCAGGGCUUUGCUUGGAGGCUACUCCCAAGCCUACGGGACUGUGUGCCACUCGGCACUGGGCCACCUGCCCCUGCUGGAGGAGCACCGUGUGUGAGCCGCCCUACUCCCUUCACCUGGUCCCCUGUUCCUGCCCCAGCCCCUUCCCCAGACCCCUCCCCAGUCUCCUGCACCCCUUAGCCCUCCCUGCUUUGCCCGGCCACGUUGAAGUUCCAGGGAGCUUGCCCGGGUCUCCUUGGGGGAGCAGAUGAGGGCCCUGCCCCAGCCCCACUGACUUCCUCCAAUAAAGUCAUGUCUGCCCCCAA